UACGUAGGGGGCUAGCGUUGUCCGGAUUUAUUGGGCGUAAAGAGCGUGUAGGCGGCCGGGUAAGUCCGGUGUGAAAACUCGAGGCUUAACCUCGAGAUGUCAUCGGAAACUAAUUCGGCUAGAGUCCGGAAGAGGAGAGUGGAAUUCCUGGUGUAGCGAUGAAAUGCGCAGAUAUCAGGAAGAACACCCAUGGCGAAAGCAGCUCUCUGGGACGGUACUGACGCUGAGACGCGAAAGCGUGGGGAGCGAACAGG
rnacentral:rRNA from 1 species